AUUGAACGCUGGCGGCAUGCCUUACACAUGCAAGUCGAACGGGGGUAGCAAUACCCUAGUGGCGGACGGGUGAGUAAUGUAUCGGAACGUGCCCUUGAGUGGGGGAUAACCAGUCGAAAGAUUGGCUAAUACCGCAUACGAUCUACGGAUGAAAGUGGGGGACCUUAGGGCCUCAUGCUCGUGGAGCGGCCGAUAUCUGAUUAGCUAGUUGGUGGGGUAAAGGCCUACAAAGGCGACGAUCAGUAGCUGGUCUGAGAGGACGAUCAGCCACACUAGGACUGAGACACGGCGCAGCCUCCUACGGGAGGCAGCAGUGGGGCAGGUUGGAACAUGGGGGAAACCCUGAUCCAGCGAUGCCGCGUGAGUGAAGAAGGCCUUCGGGUUGUAAAGCUCCUUUGUCAGGGAAGAAGAUGCUAUGGCUAAUAUCCAUGGUUGAUGACGGUACCUGAAGAAUAAGCACCGGCUAACUACGUGCCAGCCGCCGCCGUAA
rnacentral:rRNA from 1 species